rnacentral:siRNA from 1 species
AGGCCCAAUUAGUAACAG